rnacentral:rRNA from 1 species
AUUACCUCAGUAACGGCGAGUGAAGCGGUAACAGCUCAAAUUUGAAAGCUAGCUCUUUUAGGGUUCGCAUUGUAAUUUGUAGAAGAUGCUUCGGGUGUGGCCCCGGUCUAAGUUCCUUGGAACAGGACGUCAUAGAGGGUGAGAAUCCCGUAUGUGACUGGGUGCUUUCGCUCAUGUGAAGCUCUUUCGACGAGUCGAGUUGUUUGGGAAUGCAGCUCAAAAUGGGUGGUAAAUUUCAUCUAAAGCUAAAUAUUGGCCAGAGACCGAUAGCGCACAAGUAGAGUGAUCGAAAGAUGAAAAGCACUUUGGAAAGAGAGUUAAACAGUACGUGAAAUUGUUGAAAGGGAAGCGCUUGCAACCAGACUUGCGCGCUGAUGAUCAUCCGGGCUUCUGUCCGGUGCACUCGUCUGCGCUCAGGCCAGCAUCGGUUUCGGUGGUGGGAUAAAGGCCUUGGGAAUGUAGCUUCUUUCGGGGAGUGUUAUAGCCCUCGGUGCAAUGCCGCCUACCGGGACCGAGGACCGCGCUUCGGCUAGGAUGCUGGCGUAAUGGUUGUAAGCGACCCGUCUUGAAACACGGACCAAGGAGUCUAACAUCUAUGCGAGUGUUUGGGUGUCAAACCCAUACGCGUAAUGAAAGUGAACGGAGGUGAGAACCCUUAAGGGUGCAUCAUCGACCGAUCCUGAUGUCUUCGGAUGGAUUUGAGUAAGAGCAUAGCUGUUGGGACCCGAAAGAUGGUGAACUAUGCGUGAAUAGGGUGAAGCCAGAGGAAACUCUGGUGGAGGCUCGCAGCGGUUCUGACGUGCAAAUCGA